rnacentral:ncRNA from 1 species
GGUUCCGGCAGGCUCAAAAGGGAAGCCGGUGCAAAUCCGGAACUGUGCCCGCAGCUGUGAAAUCCAUAACGGUACCCUAUCAGUACGCCAUUGUCCCCAAGGGGAUGAGAAGGCAGGGGCCGGGACCAGUCAGAAGACCUGCCAUAGUCA